AAUGAAUAGAAACAGCGUUCUGCGGUUCAGGAUAUGUGCAACUGAGCACUAUUUAAUUUGAUGAUAAAAACAUUAACAAAAUUUCGAUGUCUAUGUGUGUAUUACAUUACAUUUUUGUCCUCAGAACAUCAAGUUUUAAAAAAAACUAUGGAGGGGACAAAAAUGGAGGGAAGGAGGGAAUAUAGCAUCGAGAUACAGCACUGCUUCGUCUCUUGCGGUCACAAUCCUCUUCUACGGUUAAAAAAGCAGGCUGCUUGCAAAGCUAUCGCACGGGUGCUAUGGGGAAAAUAGUUUACAACACAGACUGAUUUUUUUCAUCGCUGUACAAGAGAUCACUGCUCAUUUACUUUUAAUAAAUGGACGUUUAAGUUUGACUUGGUGGCGCCAUAGACUGUACAUACUGGACAAAACGAUUCCAUAGGCUCCAAUAACACGUUUUUUGUCUAUAACGGGAGGUGGCCACCACCCCCAUUUUGACCGUGUCACAGGUUCCGUCCAGCCCAGACAAUUCCAUAAAAGGGAAGAGAGGAGGAGCUGAGGGUGGGGCUGUAAGGCUGGGAUCGAGUGACGACACCCGGGCAAACUACCUACGAGCUAACCCUGGCUAGCCCAAAGCUAACGCAGAGGUGGGAGCCGAGCUAACGGAUGUAGCCACCUAGCUUCAACCCUACCGGAGCUAACUGUGGAACACCCAUCGACCUGAACCUUACACGGAGUUUAGGUGGAGGUUUUCUGCGCCUGUUCGUGAAAAGUACCUGGAUUAAAAAAAGUAUUAAAUCAGUAAGUUUAUAAUUUAUUUCCGUAAUGAAAACAUUUUGCUUUGAGCAAGUUUUCAGUACCGUAUUCUCUGGGCUAUCACUCCUGAGUCGCACCAGCCAUUAAAUGUAUAAUGAAGAGAAAAUAUAUUUAAGUCGUAUUUUGGGGGGACAUUUUAUUAUUUUUCUUACAAAAUCUGAGACCAAGCGUUUCACAUUGCAAGACAAGCACCGGUAACCAUAACAGAAAGAACAACAGCACGCCAUGGUCUCCAGCCAGCAGAGGAGAGGAUGGCGGUGUUUCAAACCCUCCCAGCCGGCGAGGAGAGCUCAUUCCUGGGCUGGAGCCAGCCCUCAGCACCCCGCCACAGGCUCCAACAGAUGCUGGCGGUGUUUGAAACCCUCCCAGCGGGACAGGGGAAGUCAUUCUUGGGUAAGGUUAGGUAGGGAAUUAUCAUGAGAACCAGAACAAGAGAGCCUGAUAACAGUCAUGUGAAAAUAACAGUUAAAAAGUCUGUAUGUGUAAUAGAAAUAAAAAUAUAUUAGAAUUAGUGUAACUCACUGUGAUCUAAACAAUAAAUCAGCCAUAGCUGAUUAGUAAAUAUGACAUGAGAUCUGGGAGUUUUUAAGUUUCAUUCUUUUAUUACAUUUUUUUCUUAGAUCUGUUAAAAGGUCACCAUGGCAGCCUGUGUGUCUCCAACAUCAGCUACACAAAGCAGCAAGUCCAUUUGGAUCAUUGGAGACAGCUACGUGAGGCGUGGUGCCCAGAGAGCUGCAGAGACCCUCGGAGACAACCUUUUAAUAUUUUACGUUUUUUUUUAUGUGUCGACACUUUGUGCCCUGUUGUUUUAUAAAAUGUAGUGUAAAAAAUAAAUGUUUUUGCUCAA